rnacentral:sRNA from 1 species
AAUUAAGGAACGCAGGCAAAAGGCGCUACGUUCUGUGGCAGCGCCUGCAUGAGG